AGUACCUGGUGGACUGGGAGGGUUACGGCCCGGAGGAGAGAAGUUGGGUACCUGCUAGGGACAUUCUGGAUCACUCCCUUAUCGAUGAUUUCAAUCGACAGUGUUUGUGUGGGCGUGGUUUCCCAAUCUCGGCCUGAUUGUCUGCGCCAGCUGGAACCACUUAUCUUCCCUUUAUAUGUUCUGUUACCAGUGUUUCUUGUUGUCAGAUCGUUGUUUCUUCUCUGAGGUUGUGUCGUGUGUCCGUGCUCUUCUCUUGUGUGGAUUCUCUGCUGUGCUCCUUCCUACUCAUCCGGACACACUCCCCUGGUUUUCUCAGCACGUUAUGAUCGGAAGAUGCGCCCGAGUUCCUGGGUCGGAUUCCUUCUGAGUACAGUCUGUCUGUCAUGUUGCUGCUGUGAACUACAUUCAUUAAAACCAUCGUUGCUUGCA